CCUACGGGGGGCUGCAGUGAGGAAUAUUGGUCAAUGGACGAGAGUCUGAACCAGCCAAGUAGCGUGAAGGAUGACUGCCCUAUGGGUUGUAAACUUCUUUUAUAAAGGAAUAAAAUGAGGCACGUGUGCCUUUUUGCAUGUACUUUAUGAAUAAGGAUCGGCUAACUCCGUGCCAGCAGCCGCGGUAAUACGGAGGAUCCGAGCGUUAUCCGGAUUUAUUGGGUUUAAAGGGGGCGUAGAUGGGUUGUUAAGUCAGUUGUGAAAGUUUGCGGCUCAACCGUAAAAUUGCAAUUGAUACUGGCAGUCUUGAGUACAGUUGAGGUAGGCGGAAUUCGUGGUGUAGCGGUGAAAUGCUUAGAUAGCACGAAGAACCCCGAUUGCGAAGGCAGCUUACUAAACUGUGACUGACAUUGAGGCUCGAAAGUGUGGGUAUCGAACAGGAUUAGAUACCCUUGUAGUC
rnacentral:rRNA from 1 species